GAUGAACGCUGGCGGCGUGCUUAACACAUGCAAGUCGAACGGUGAAGCCCAGCUUGUUGGGUGUGUUCGAGGCGCAAGGGUGUGUAACACGCGUGUAACAUGUGCUUUUGUCUGGGGGAAACCUGGGGGAAUGUGGCUCAUAUCGGCUAUGAGCGUCCCCGGCGUAGGGUGGGGUGGGAAGAUUUGUCGCGGUUGGGGAGGGUCGCGCGGCAUAACAUCUUGUUGGGGGGGUAGUGGCUUACCAGGGCCUUGACGGGUCGCCCGCCUGAGAGGGUGACCGGCCACAUUGGGACUGAGAGACGGCCCAGACUCCUACGGGAGGCAGCAGUGGGGAAUAUUGCACAAUGGGCGCAAGCCUGAUGCAGCGACGCCGCGUGCGGGAUGACGGCCUUCGGGUUGUAAACCGCUUUCGGUUGUGACGAAGCGGGAGUGACGGUACCGGCAGAAGAAGCACCGGCUAACUACGUG
rnacentral:rRNA from 1 species